CAGCACAGUAAGAGCUUGCUCUUAUGGGUGGCGAGUGGCGGACGGGUGAGGAAUACAUCGGAAUCUACCUUUUCGUGGGGGAUAACGUAGGGAAACUUACGCUAAUACCGCAUACGACCUUCGGGUGAAAGCAGGGGACCUUCGGGCCUUGCGCGGAUAGAUGAGCCGAUGUCGGAUUAGCUAGUUGGCGGGGUAAAGGCCCACCAAGGCGACGAUCCGUAGCUGGUCUGAGAGGGUGAUCAGCCACACUGGAACUGAGACACGGUCCAGACUCC
rnacentral:rRNA from 1 species